rnacentral:rRNA from 1 species
GACGAACGCUGGCGGCGUGCCUAAUACAUGCAAGUCGAGCGGACAGAAGGGAGCUUGCUCCCGGAUGUUAGCGGCGGACGGGUGAGUAACACGUGGGUAACCUGCCUGUAAGACUGGGAUAACUCCGGGAAACCGGAGCUAAUACCGGAUAGUUCCUUGAACCGCAUGGUUCAAGGAUGAAAGACGGUUUCGGCUGUCACUUACAGAUGGACCCGCGGCGCAUUAGCUAGUUGGUGAGGUAACGGCUCACCAAGGCGACGAUGCGUAGCCGACCUGAGAGGGUGAUCGGCCACACUGGGACUGAGACACGGCCCAGACUCCUACGGGAGGCAGCAGUAGGGAAUCUUCCGCAAUGGACGAAAGUCUGACGGAGCAACGCCGCGUGAGUGAUGAAGGUUUUCGGAUCGUAAACUCCUGUCGACCGGGACGAAAGUUAUCUGGGCUAAUAUCCCAGGUAAUCGACUGUACCGGUGGAGGAAGCCACGGCUAACUCUGUGCCAGCAGCCGCGGUAACAC